GAUGAAGAACGCAGCGAAAUGCGAUAAGUAAUGCGAAUUGCAGAAUUUCCGUGAGUCAUCGAAUCUUUGAACGCACAUUGCGCCCACUGGUAUUCCGGUGGGCAUGCCUGUUCGAGCGUCAUUAUCCUCCCUCAAACCCCGGGUUUGGUGUUGGACCCAAGUUGUGUGAACAACUGGUCUCAAAGACAAUGACGGCGUCCGUGGGACCCUCGGUGCAACGAGCUUUUAGGAGCACGCGCCGAGUUGCAAGGACCUUCCGGGCCGGUCUCCUUUACUAUUUCACAAGGUUGACCUCGGAUCAGGUAGGAAUACCCGCUGAACUUAAGCAUAUCAAUAAGCGGAGGA
rnacentral:misc_RNA from 1 species